rnacentral:rRNA from 1 species
CGGUUAAGUUAGAAAGGGCGCACGGCGGAUGCCUUGGCACUCGGAGCCGAUGAAGGACCGGACGAACACCGAGAUGCUUCGGGGAGCUGUAAGCAAGCUUUGAUCCGGCGAUUUCCGAAUGGGGAAACCCACCACUCGUAAUGGAGCGGUAUCCAUAUCUGAAUACAUAGGAUAUGAGAAGACAGACCCGGGGAACUGAAACAUCUAAGUACCCGGAGGAAGAGAAAGCAAAUGCGAUUCCCUGAGUAGCGGCGAGCGAAACGGGACCAGCCCAACCCAAGAGGCUUGCCUCUUGGGGUUGUAGGACACUCUGUACGGAGUUACAAAGGAACGAGGUAGAUGAAGAGGUCUGGAAAGGCCCGCCAUAGAAGGUAACAGCCCUGUAGUCAAAACUUCGUUCUCUCCUGAGUGGAUCCUGAGUACGGCGGAACACGUGAAAUUCUGUCGGAAUCCGGGAGGACCAUCUCCCAAGGCUAAAUACUCCCUAGUGACCGAUAGUGAACCAGUACCGUGAGGGAAAGGUGAAAAGCACCCCGGAAGGGGAGUGAAAGAGAUCCUGAAACCGUGUGCCUACAAGUAGUCAGAGCCCGUUAAUGGGUGAUGGCGUGCCUUUUGUAGAAUGAACCGGCGAGUUACGAUCCCGUGCAAGGUUAAGCAGAAGAUGCGGAGCCGCAGCGAAAGCGAGUCUGAAUAGGGCGAAUUGAGUACGUGGUCGUAGACCCGAAACCAGGUGAUCUACCCAUGUCCAGGGUGAAGUUCAGGUAACACUGAAUGGAGGCCCGAACCCACGCACGUUGAAAAGUGCGGGGAUGAGGUGUGGGUAGGGGUGAAAUGCCAAUCGAACCUGGAGAUAGCUGGUUCUCUCCGAAAUAGCUUUAGGGCUAGCCUCAAGGUAAGAGUCUCGGAGGUAGAGCACUGAUUGGACUAGGGGCCCCUACCGGGUUACCGAAUUCAGUCAAACUCCGAAUGCCGAUGACUUAUCCUUGGGAGUCAGACUGCGAGUGAUAAGAUCCGUAGUCGAAAGGGAAACAGCCCAGACCGCCAGCUAAGGUCCCAAAGUAUACGUUAAGUGGAAAAGGAUGUGGAGUUGCUUAGACAACCAGGAUGUUGGCUUAGAAGCAGCCACCAUUUAAAGAGUGCGUAAUAGCUCACUGGUCGAGUGACUCUGCGCCGAAAAUGUACCGGGGCUAAACGUAUCACCGAAGCUGCGGACUGUUCUUCGAACAGUGGUAGGAGAGCGUUCUAAGGGCUGUGAAGCAAGACCGGAAGGACUUGUGGAGCGCUUAGAAGUGAGAAUGCCGGUAUGAGUAGCGAAAGAGGGGUGAGAAUCCCCUCCACCGAAUGCCUAAGGUUUCCUGAGGAAGGCUCGUCCGCUCAGGGUUAGUCGGGACCUAAGCCGAGGCCGAAAGGCGUAGGCGAUGGAUAACAGGUUGAUAUUCCUGUACCACCUCCUCACCAUUUGAGCAAUGGGGGGACGCAGGAGGAUAGGGUAAGCGCGGUAUUGGAUAUCCGCGUCCAAGCAGUUAGGCUGGGAAAUAGGCAAAUCCGUUUCCCGUGAAGGCUGAGCUGUGAUGGCGAGCGAAUUAUAGUAGCGAAGUUCCUGAUUCCACACUGCCAAGAAAAGCCUCUAGCGAGGUGAGAGGUGCCCGUACCGCAAACCGACACAGGUAGGCGAGGAGAGAAUCCUAAGGUGAUCGAGAGAACUCUCGUUAAGGAACUCGGCAAAAUGACCCCGUAACUUCGGGAGAAGGGGUGCUCUGUUAGGGUGCAAGCCCGAGAGAGCCGCAGUGAAUAGGCCCAGGCGACUGUUUAGCAAAAACACAGGUCUCUGCGAAGCCGUAAGGCGAAGUAUAGGGGCUGACGCCUGCCCGGUGCUGGAAGGUUAAGAGGAGCGCUUAGCGUAAGCGAAGGUGCGAAUUGAAGCCCCAGUAAACGGCGGCCGUAACUAUAACGGUCCUAAGGUAGCGAAAUUCCUUGUCGGGUAAGUUCCGACCCGCACGAAAGGCGCAACGAUCUGGGCACUGUCUCAACGAGAGACUCGGUGAAAUUAUAGUACCUGUGAAGAUGCAGGUUACCCGCGACAGGACGGAAAGACCCCGUGGAGCUUUACUGCAGCC